GACAGAGGGUGCAAACGUUGCUCGGAAUUACUGGGCGUAAAGGGCGCGUAGGCGGCCUUCUAAGUCAGACGUGAAAUCCCCAGGCUUAACUUGGGAACUGCGUCUGAUACUGGGAGGCUUGAAUGCGGGAGAGGGAUGUGGAAUUCCAGGUGUAGCGGUGAAAUGCGUAGAUAUCUGGAGGAACACCGGUGGCGAAGGCGGCAUCCUGGACCGACAUUGACGCUGAGGCGCGAAAGCCAGGGGAGCAAACGGG
rnacentral:rRNA from 1 species